AAACGUGGGUAAUCUGCCUCAAAGCUCGGGAUAACCUUCCGAAAGGUUGGCUAGUACCGGAUAAGCUCACAGGGUCUUCGGAUCUGGUGAGAAAAUGGUGGCCUCUAUUUAUAAGCUAUCACUUUGAGAUGAGCCCGCGGCCCAUCAGCUAGUUGGCGGGGUAACGGCCCACCAAGGCAACGACGGGUAGCUGGUCUGAGAGGACGAUCAGCCACACUGGAACUGAGACACGGUCCAGACUCCUACGGGAGGCAGCAGUGGGGAAUUUUCCACAAUGGGCGAAAGCCUGAUGGAGCAACGCCGCGUGUGUGAUGAAGGUCUUCGGGUCGUAAAGCACUUUCGACUGGGACGAAACACCCUUGGCUAACACUCAAGGGCUUGACCGUACCAGGAGAAGAAGCACCGGCUAACUCUGUGCCAGCAGCCGCGGUAAUACAGAGGGUGCAAGCGUUGUUCGGAAUUAUUGGGCGUAAAGCGCGUGUAGGCGGCAUAGCAAGUCGGGUGUGAAAGCCCUCAGCUUAACUGAGGAAGUGCGCCCGAAACUGCUGUGCUUGAGUGCCGGAGAGGAUGGCGGAAUUCCCCAAGUAGAGGUGAAAUUCGUAGAUAUGGGGAGG
rnacentral:rRNA from 1 species